UGUUCCACUUCCCAAAAACCUGGAAUACUAAAUGGUUCCCCCUUAUCCCCUCACUUCCCAAUAUAAAAAGAAGACAUAGUGACACUUUGAUCUUGAGCUUGUGAUUGUAAAUAUACUUUUGUCAUUUGGAGGACAAAGCUAUCGCCCACGAUUGCCCUUCCAGAGCACUGGACCAGGAGGAGCUGCUGGCUGAAGGAGCCAUGUACACUCUGCUGGAUGGACAGAUAAAUCCUGGGUGCGUGGAGAGAACCCAGAGUUAACAUUAUGCUGACAUGUACCCCGAAGGAUGGAUUCAGAACUGUCCAGAACCUCACAGGAAGGCAACAAGGGAAGUCAGAAGAGUCAUCGGGAUCCCUGGUGGGAUGAAGCUGCUGGUGCAGAGGGGACGACGGCGUCACUGGUUCCGAGUCUGGGAAUGGGCAUCACGGAGACAGCAAGUCUCGCGAGAACAACGCCUGGGACCAGGGGCUGCUGCUCCGGCUCACGGCCCAUCUCUCCCCCUGCGGCGCUUUGGUGAACUCUCUGGGGCUCUGGAGCCAGGGAAGCUUGGACUGCAACCUCCAGCCCUGGCUCAGAGGUAUGACGGGAGAGCAAGAGGAGAGAGCCUAGCUCAGACAAUGCUAGUACUCACUAGCAUUUCAGGAGUUCUGCUGUGUGCUCAGAAAAAACUUCCUCCCAGAACUCACGUGGUGAAGCAUCAUUGAAGCGGGCCGUGGCACACAGGUGAAAAUUCUACCCAUCACCCUCAGAGAGGCUGUGUUUGGAAAACCCGUGUUGAUUUUAACUUGAGUGUUAGUCACCCAUAAAAUGCUGCCAGAAGUCUCUCUGGGGCUGGCCCCAGUUGCAAACUGUGUGCUGUUUGUUUUCUAAGCUGCGCUUUGUUAAAAUAGCAAUUCCCAGUUUGCCUCAGGUAUAGAGUUUAGGUUCAUGGUUCAUUGGAUAUUUUAGGAAAAUAUGAGCAAACAUUCCAA